rnacentral:rRNA from 1 species
AUGUGACCCCAGGUCAGGCGGGAUCACCUGCUGAGUUUAA